AUUCUAAGCCUUAUGGAUUACUUGGUGGGGUUUGAAGACGUCAGUGGAGGAACUUCCUGCAAAUGUGGUGGAAACAGGAAGAGAGCUAGAAUUAGAAGUGGAGCCUGAAGACAAGACUGAAUUGCUGCAAUCUCAUGUCAAACUUAAAGGAUGAGGAGUUGCUUCUUACGGAUGAGCAAAGAAACUAGUUUCUUGAGAUAGAAUCUAUUCCUUGUGAAUACUGUUGAAAUGACAACAAAGGAUUUGGAAUAUUCCAUAUACUUACGUGAUAAGGCAGAAGCAGUGUUUGAGGGAAUUGACUACAAUUUUAAAAGAUGUUUUCUUAUAGGUAAAAUGCUAUCAAAAAGCAAUAUCGCACACUCCAGAAAAUACUUUCAUGAAAGAAAGAGUCAACCUAUGAGGCAAACUUCACUGUAGUCUUCUUUUCAGAAACCGCCACAGCCACCCCAGCCUUCAGCAACCACCACCCUUAUCAGUCAGCUGCUAUCAACAUCGAGGCAAGAUCCUUCACCAGAAAAAUGAAUGCAACUCACUAAAGGCUCAGAUAAUUGUUAGCCUAUUUUAGUAAUAAAAUAUUUUUAAUAAGGUAUGUACAUUGAUUUGUUGACAUAACACUAUUAUUGCACACUUAAGAGGCUACUGUAUAGUAUGAAUA
rnacentral:lncRNA from 10 species